CGCACACAAACAUGCCAGACGCUCUAGGCGCGCGCGAUCAAUGAAGACGAGAACGCGUGAUUUCCGAGUCCCAUCGCCACCCAACCCGCCAUUCACCCUUUUUUUCUUUUUUGCCACCCUCUCGAUUGUGCCCUCCCCUCCCUCUUCCCGCAGAAAACUAGAGAUACGGCGUUCCGCUUAGACCCCCUCCCCAAGCCCCCCACCCCCUCUCUCCACCUGACCAAUAUCGCCCUCCUCUGUAGGCUCACAACAGAAAAAAAUGUUCGUCGUCGCGGCACCGCUCCGCGCCGUGCAGGCUCUUCUUCUCACCCUGCUCUUGUGCGCGCCCGCAUUCACCGCGGUGGUGGUGGACGCCUCGCCGGCGUACCUGCUGGCGCAGCGCAGAGGCCAGCGGUUCGCCUAUGAGGCGAAAAGCGACCCCGUCAUCGACAUUGACCGCCUACUGCCGAAUGCAUCAUGUAGCUUUCUCUACGCCUUCACCGAGGACAUGAACAUCUUCAUCAAGAACCUCAUCAGCAGCUCCGUCAUGGCGAACUUCGGCACUGGUGCGGAGGAGCAUGGCUUCGACCACUGCAACUUGUUAUCCUUGCCGCAGAACGAUUGGAACACCACCUACACUCUCUCGGGGUGCUUCAAGACACUGCUGCACGCGGGCAUCGCCGGCGACUGCGUCGCCGACAACCCGCUCUGCUGCGUUCAGUACUGGCGCUAUCCGACGUCACUGCCGGACCGCUUGCCGUCGGAUCAGAUCGACCCCCGACUUGUCUUCUGGGAUGGCACGAAGGCGGUCAACGGCUUCUACACCAACUUCUCCGACAAGUACCGUGCCCAAUACUGGAACUGUUCAUCCUUCAGGCCGUGGCCGGAAUGCUCCUGCACCUACGGCGCCAACUCUACGCUUGCAGUAGACGCCAAUGGCGAAUGGCGCUACACACGUCGCUACAUGCCCUUCUUGACCUAUGUCGAGCACCGCGUCGACAGCCCGACCGGCAAGGCAGCCGCCCAGCUCACACUGCUGGACACCACUUCCACCCCGGCGUGGGCGGCAGUGCAUCAGCUCGGCGACAUCCCGCUACUGGUCCCGAUCGUCGUGUCAGCGGGUCUCGUCGUCGUUCUCUUGAUUUCUCUCCUCCUCAUGUACCUGUGUGGGUACAAGCCGGCCUUGAAGGAAGAAAAGGAGUUGUGCGCCAAAAUUGAAGACGUGCAGGCUCGAACGGCGAAAGCCGAGGAGAAGCUCGCGGCUAAGCGGCGUCGAAAUCAGCGCUCGGCCAGCUCGCUUGCUCGGACGCCACGGGGCAGCUUUGUCGCCUCGUCAGCGGCGGCUCUGAGCCCUGUGAACCAGCGCUGCUCCUCCUCACACAGCAUCAGCCCCAAAUCCGCCCAGCUCCACGUGCUUUCCGCUGAGCCGCAUCAGCAGCAGCACGCCUGCGCCGCGGCGUCGCUCCCGAGUCAAGGCACUCAGUCGCAGCUGCAGACGCGUGGCACCUUGAUGGCUGCGCACAAUAGAAGGGAUGCGGUGCAUCGGCGUCCGUCAUCCCGAGCGGACAGCACCUGCAGUCGGAAAAGCAGCCCUGUCACCACCGCGGCGUCGACGGUCAAUGAUCCACUGGCGAACUCGAUAUUGAAACGCGCGUCAAGUACAGGCUCCAUGAAAUCGGCAGCAUCACGGCAGUCUCCGCAGAGCUUCCAGAACCCACUCAUUGGGCGACAGACCUUUGGCGUCUAGACAUGUUUCUUUGAGUCCCCACGAGUGGACAACAGAAUGGGGUGGAGAGGUCGUGGUCGUGCACCCCCCCCCUCUCUCUUCCUCCCUCCCUCACACCCUCUCCAGAUGUGUUGUCUUUCUUUGCAUGCACCCAGUUCGCUGCUGGCUGCUUGCGUGGGUGUGUAUAUCUGCGCUGUGGUCAAGCGUGCAAGAAUGCUCUCAUUGGCAAGUCUCCCAUCCUCUCCUUCCCUUCACUUCUUUGUUGUUGUUGCUUUUUGUUUCUUCUGAGUACUAUAGGUAUGCAUAUUUGUUAUUCCGCCUCUUGUCCCCCCCCCACACACACACAAGCGCCCUUCCUUCCCGUUCCUUUCCUUCUUUUUGCCUUGAAGUGUGCCCGCUCCGUUGGUGUGCGUGUCCUCCCCUUCUCUGUCCUGCGCUCACCCUUCUUCUUCUUUUUUCCAUCCCUGACUUCUAACCCUCUCCCCUCCACAGAAGCGCAAGCGAAUGAGGAUUACCGAAAGGGCAGCGAAACAUCCUCAACCCACUCCAGCUCUCCCCCCUCCCCACCCCUCCCUCUCUCUCCCUCCCAUCCACCCGCCCCUACCCCUAGCACGCCACCCGCACACCUUCGUACGCUGUUUGGGGGACCGUGUGUCCGUGGGCAUAUCUCCCUCUGCGUGUGUUUGUGCGUGAAGGGAGGGAGAAAGAGGGGCUUUUUCCGCCUCUCUUCUCUCCUGUCCCUCCCCCCUCCGCCCGCCGCUAGACCCACCUCAGACACACGCAUACAUCCUCUCAGUUGUUUUUUGCAGCGUACUCUCCACCGUGUUAUUUUCUGUUGUUUGCUCACCUUUACACACGCAGGUACAAGCGGCCUUUUCCUUUUUUUCUUCCCUCUGCAUGUGUAUCCUUUAUGCCGUGCGUGCAGCACAAACGAAAAAUGACGUCGAAACAGCAGCCCGAGAAAAAAAAGGCUCCGUCACCAUCACAACCCAAACGGCAUCCGCCGCCAUGUGUACAGCGGCCCGUGUUUCUCGUCUGUUGUUGUGUUCUCUCUCUGUCCCUGUCCUCGUCUUUGUGCUCCAUCAAGCUCUAGUUCUACCUAUAGCUCUUCAUCCUCCUCCCGUGAGACCAAGCGUACUUGAAAGUGCGACUUUUGCGUGAGUGCUCGUGUGUGUGUGUGUGUGUGUGUGUGUGCUUGCGUACACCUGUCUGUCUAUAUAUAUAUUCGUACGUAUGUGCCUAUGUUUGUUUUGGGCUUUCUCCUCGCCCUUUUCCCCUCCCUUUCUCUCUAUCUGCGCUUUCAGCGCGCAGUCGUGUGUGAUUGUGCUCCUUGCUCCCCUCAUGUGUUUAUUUCUUCAUUGCUUUAUUUUUUCUGCUACGCGACACUCUGUAUACGGUGUGGCGGUUACAAUGAGUGAUGUCUUCAUCGCUGUUCUCUCUCUUCCUUCUCCUUGGAUGUGUUGCUGACGUGAUGUGGGUGCGGAUCAACUGCCUUCGUCCCUAUCUUAUCUUGGGUGUGUUUUUCUGCCCCAUUGACGAUGCCCCCCCCGUCAGUACCCACAGCCCCAUCCACACACAUGCGCACCUUCUCCCUCCUUUCCUCACACCUCAUGUGCAUAUGAAGCCUCUCUAAGCCCACAAGCACACACACACAUGCACACGCACACAACGGCGAAAAGAUGAAGGCGAAUGGUGCGCCCUUGCGUGUGUCUUCCCUCGCUCGUGUGCGUGUCUGUGUUCUCUCGUCGUGAAACGCAGAGGCUGCACAUCGUACACCAGGGGGAGGGAGGGGGUCGUUUCAGUACAUGUUCCCUCUAAGCUCUUGCACCCGUCUGCGUGGGCGGACACUCCUUUCGUCUUUGUGUGUGGUGUGCAGGCGGUGGCCUCUGUCGUCUUGUCUACCUCAGCGUGGCCGACGGAAAGCAGAGCGAAGGGUGCGGUGGAGAAGGUACGUUCACAUUCAAACACAGUCGCACAGGCGCAUGCGCAGCUAUAGUGGUGAUAGAAGGCGUGCGCGUAGGUUUUGCCUUGUUUAUUUUUCCUUUCUUGCGUAUGUGAGCUUCCUGCUGUGCUACGUGCAGUGCUCGUCCUCUCUUUCCUCUUGUAGCCCUCGUGCUCGACGGUGGCGGCGGCGGCCUCGAACGCCCCUCCUCUCCUUCUUUACAGCCCUCCCUUUUCUUCGGCGGCGGCUGCCUUACCCCGUUGCUUUUUUUUUUCGCUUUUUCAUCUUUGUUGUGGUUUGCAUGGUUGGCACCAUGUUGAGUGUGUGUCUCUGGGCGCUUUUUUCCCCUGUAUCUUCUUUCCAAGUUCUGAUCGGCUUUCUAUUGUACGCACACACGCAUGCAUGCACCGGCAGGGACGUUGUUUGUUUCUCUCUCAGCCAAUGUAUCCCUACCUCACCACAGUUGUAUAUGUUUUUUUUUUUUGAUUAUUCUCUCCCUUUCUGCUGCCAGGUGGAACCGUAUCCCCUCUUCCUCCCCUCCCCCUCUUCGGGUGUAUUGGGUGUCUUCAUCGUUUCACCGGCGUGUGGGUGGAUGUUUGGAUGUGUGUGUGCUUUCCAUCGUUGUGGUCGCCGUGUUGAUGUCGUUAUGUUUCUUUUCGUUGGUGCCUCCCCCCCCCGCGGCUGUUUGUGUUGUUUUCUCAGACAGGUAGAAGAAGCGUGCGAUCGAGCGGCCUGCGGCUGUGUAAGCAUGUGCCUGGGUAGCGCCUCCGUGCGUAUCUGCUUGGGAGGUCAGUGUCCACCUGCUAAAUUCACUCCUGCCUCCAAUCACUUACCUAUGUGCGUUUACUCUCUCCCCCUUCUCCUCGCAAGCGCUUGGUGGUGACACACUGUGGAUGAGUUCGCUUGACGGUAUCGGUAGAAGAUGUCCCACGGAACAAGCACACGCAGAGAGAGCGCUUGAGAGAGAAGGACUGAAGGUGCGCGACGCGUGCACGUCCGCCGCCAAUAAAAGCUAAGUGGCUAUGUUUGAUCCUCUGUUGGCGAUCUUUUUCUCUCUGCCACUACAACUACCAUCACCACACGUUCUACACACACACACACGCACAUGCAUCCUUUGUCCGUGUCUCUGUGCGACGUUGCGUGUGGCGGUGCUUAUCGUCUGCCCGAUGUGUGUGUGUGUGUGUGUGUGUGUGUGUGUCGAGCAUCGCCUCUUUUUGUUUGUUUGUUUCUCCGCCUUCGAUGACGGUGUGAUUCGCUCUUUGUGAGCUCGUUUUGCCCUUAUUAUUAUUCGAUAGCGCACCUAUAAAAUAGCAUGUGCACACACGCUCUGCCCAGCCCCCCCCCCACUCACCGUCGAUGUUGUGGGCAUGACGGCUUUUUCCGGAUGCCGGCGUUCAUACACU
rnacentral:misc_RNA from 1 species